rnacentral:rRNA from 1 species
UACGAAGGGUGCAAGCGUUACUCGGAAUUACUGGGCGUAAAGCGUGCGUAGGUGGUUUGUUAAGUCUGAUGUGAAAGCCCCGGGCUCAACCUGGGAACUGCAAUGGAAACUGGCGGGCUUGAGUGUGGCAGAGGGGGGUGGAAUUCCGCGUGUAGCAGUGAAAUGCGUGGAGAUGUGGAGGAACACCGAUGGCGAAGGCAGCCCCCUGGGUCAAGAUUGACGCUCAUGCACGAAAGCGUGGGGAGCAAACGGG